rnacentral:rRNA from 1 species
GUGGGGAAUUUUGCGCAAUGGGGGAAACCCUGACGCAGCAACGCCGCGUGAGUGAUGAAGGCCUUCGGGUCGUAAAGCUCUGUCAGAGGGAAAGAAAUGCGGGAGGGUUAAUACCCCUUUUGCUUGACGGUACCCUCAAAGGAAGCACCGGCUAACUCCGUGCCAGCAGCCGCGGUAAUACGGAGGGUGCGAGCGUUGUUCGCAAUUAUUGGGCGUAAAGCGCGUGUAGGCGGUCUUUUAAGUCUGAUGUGAAAGCCCCGGGCUCAACCUGGGAAGUGCAUUGGAAACUGGGAGACUUGAAUACGGGAGAGGGUAGUGGAAUUCCUAGUGUAGGAGUGAAAUCCGUAGAUAUUAGGAGGAACACCGGUGGCGAAGGCGGCUACCUGGACCGAUAUUGACGCUGAGACGCGAAAGCGUGGGGAGCAAACAGGAUUAGAAACCCGGGUAGUCC